rnacentral:rRNA from 1 species
AACGAACGCUGGCGGCAUGCUUAACACAUGCAAGUCGAACGAGACCUUCGGGCUUAGGGGCGCACGGCUGGGUAACGCGUGGGAACUUGCCCUUAGGUUAGGUAUAACUCCCCGAAAGGUGUCUUAAGACAGCUUAAUGUCUUAGGAGCAAAGAGUUAUUGCCUUUGGCUGGGGGCGGGUUGGAUUAGCUAGUUGGUAGGGUAAAAGCCGACCAAGGCGACGAUGCAUAGCUGGUGUGGUAGGAUGAUCAGCCAGACUGGGACUGAGACACGGCCCAGACUCCUACGGAGGACAGCAGUAGGGAAUAUUGUGCGAUGGGCGAAGACGUAGUCAAGCCGUGCGGCGUAAGUGAUGAAGGCCUUAGGGUUGUAAAGCUCUUUUACCCGGGAUGAUAAUGACGGUACCGGGAAAAUAAGCUCCGGCUAACUACGUG